ensembl:lncRNA
UGUGGCUAAAUUGUACCCAGGGAUUUUAAGCUUUGAUCACUUUCAAAUGGCAUGUACAUGCACACACAUGAGCGUCUCUAAACAGAGAGACUGAGCUGGAGACUACAAGAGAAGCUUUAUUCCAAUUUCUGCUCUGCCGGAACUCUCGUCUAAGAUCACUGACUUGCCUGGCAGUGGUGUUCAGGAUUUUUAAAGGAAGAUUAGCCCUGAGCUAACAUCCACCACCAAACCUCCUCUUUUUGCUGAGGAAGACUGGCCCUGAGCUAACAUCAAUGCCCAUCUUCGUCCACUUUAUAUGUGGGAUGCCUACCGCAACAUGGCUGGACAAACGGUGCAUAGAUUUGCACCCAGGAUCUGAACCGGUGAACCGCAGGUCGCUGAAGGGUAACAUGCGAACUUAACUGCUGCGCCACUGGACUGGCCCCUCUAAGCGUUAUUUUUUAAACAAAUAUUUGGAGAGAAUCUUCAAUUGCCACGCACUUUUCUAGAAACUCUGGGAGACGUGAAGAAGAAUGAAAAACUGCUCUUGAGCUUAAGGAGCUGCAGUUGAGCAAGAAACCGACUCUUGCGAGUGCAAAAAAUCAACAUAUGAGAAGUGUGUUAAAAUAAAUAAUUACAAAUUAUUGGAGGAUUUAUGAUAAAAUGGUAUCACUUUAGAUUGGAACAUUGGGUAAAAUUCCAUGGAUGAGAUUGCCUUUGGGACACAUCUAAAAGCUCACCUGUGACCACUCAGCUGGAGACAACAGACUGCCACCCUGCUGUGUUCACUGAGACAGAAGACCUACCUGCUGUUUCCAUCAAUCGCUGUGCCGACAGAGCAGUCUCGCAACUACUGUAAAAGGGACAUUUCAAUCCUAUGUGAAACAUCCUCUCUGGGGGUAUAUAACCAGUCUGUGCACCCCACUUCUUUGGUGCCCUUUCUUCCUUCGGGAAGAAAGGCCCCAGGUUAUAAUCCUCAGAUUUAAGCUCAGAAUAAACUCACCCAAAUUUUCAUUUAUAGAUUGGUUAUGGAUUAUAUUCGUCGACACUUUAGACUCUGUUCAUUGAUCCCUCUAGCAAAUUCUCUCUGAACAAACCUGAAUCACUUUUACUCAUCCCUCAUCCAAUCACUGUUGUCAUGAAGGUGAAAUAUUCUGGCUGACAGGCGUAGUUCACAUGCCCACUCUGGAGCAAAAAGCCAGAGAUCCCCUCUUCACCUGAAGCAUGCUGACAGGUUGUCAGGGGUGAUGAAAAGGACUUUAUUCAAAUAGCUUCUCAAUAAAUGGAAGGAGAUUCCCCUGAAGGCCUUUAAGGCGGGCCUGGAAACACAGCGCUAUUUGGCCAGGAGGAGAAAGUCUGUGCUAGAUUGAUUCCUGCUUGCGAUGAGGAGUGGAAGAUCCAAGGAGUAGCUGAAGUUGAGAGACCCCUUGUGGACAGUGGGCAGUGAGAAGAGGGCUUCCGAGUUGCCGUAACUUACAGAGGGUUGUCAGGUGUCUUUUUAUAUCAUUUAUUACACGUCAGUGUUUGAUGUUCAGUGUUCUAUGUUCUAUUUCUUUCCUGAUUUUAGGAACUCAGAGACACGGAGCAGUAACCAAAUGUCACACUCUGAGUGGGAGUAAAGCUGUCAUAUGGCACCUCUGACUCCCAGACAGGCCUGUAUAUUAACCCAUAAUUUAUACCCUGCCUACUUCCCAGAAGGAUUUAUAGCAGCUUUCAACAACAUGCAUAUACACAACAUAACACGAAUAUCGUGUUGUAGGAGAGGAUUUUGCCCAUCCAUUGUCAUUGGCCUGGUUUAUCCUAACCUCUCUUCUCUGGGGUCUUUCAGGCUGCUGGUGAAAGAUUACGGACUCAUCCUUCAAUGAGUUCUAUAGCUUGGAGGAAACGGAGGAAAUGCCAGAUGGUUAGAGUUUAUGCACAGGAUACAUACCCUUGCCUUCACUGAAUUUUGCCUCAAGAGUCAUAGUAACCAGCUGAGUGAAAGUCCUGAGAGCGUGACUUCAGCAGACACCGCCCGGGGGAUUUCAGCCAAGAAGCUAGAAGAGUAGAGGGAAAAUUAUUUUUCCUCCCCUACACAAUUAAAAUCUAAAAGGCACAGUGCUCACAGGAGAAGAGAUGAAGCACGAGCAUCAAAGGCACAGGCCCUGGGAAGCACAGUUAUCACAUGUUCACAUACAUAUUUUUUAAAUUUGCAAAAGGAAAAUACUGUAAGCAAAACCGGUUACUAUCACUGCCUCCUCAACUCCAACUUCUCCUAUAUCACAUUCCUGUCAUGUCAAGUGGCCUUAGACCAGCAAUUUUAGAGUCCAGCUGAGGGACAGUUGCAUGAGAGAUAUUUGUAGUUUCCAUUUAGUGGAUAUAAUUCUGGGCCUACAGUCAUAUCUGUGUGUAGAUGUGUUUUGAUUAGUCAUCUUGGUGUAGAAAUGGCUUCUGGGACUGUUCUCACCCUUGACCUGGCACUCACCUGGCAAACUGACAUGAAGGUGUGGGGCCAAAGGUCAUGCUGCAUAGUGAACAUAUUCCUAAAUGCUUAGCACUGGAAGUAAGUGAAUAAUAUAGUAGAGAUGAGGUUUGAAGCUCAGAUAACCAGAACUUACUUUUUGAAAAUUUAUAGCUCAUAUGUGAAAAAAACUUGAUCGAAAUAUUUCCAAAUUUGGAAACAGUCCUGAAAGUUUUCUUGGUGUUACAAAAUUUAUGCUGUGAAGCUUGAGAAAUUUUUUAUGCAAAGAAUAAUGAAAUUAUAUUUCAAUGAACAAUGUGACAGAAAACAUGACCACUUUUUCAGAGGGGAGAAGUUGGAAGCAGCUAGAAAGGGGUUAGAGUCAGGGGCUGUGAGCAGGGAAAACAGCAAGUUGAGAAGUUGUACUCACACCUUUUGCAGCAGGCAGGGCUGUAAUUUUAAAGUGAAAGGUUUCCAUGGCCACUGCUGGGCAAUUUGCAUUAGCAUUGUAUAUUGCUGGCAUUUUAAGUUAAAAUUACUGCCUUGGUUCAACUCGCACUGUACUUACUAAAAGAUUCUGCUACCUUACCAUUGAGAGCUACUAGUCCCCCAAAAUUGGCUUAGAUAUUUUGGUAGAACAAUUUUUACCUUUUCUUCUUCUUUUUCUUAAAUUUUCCACCACUUCUGCCUCAUGUAUGAGUUUUUCAGUCUUUCUCAGAAAGAAUACUCCAGCAGUGGGGAUAGUGUUCAUUUUCAAAAGGGUUUACGGUGUUCAAUGACAUAGAAGGUCACUUGCCAUGUUUAUGGCUGUCCCUGGGAACUCCCAUAAGGUCGGAGAAAUUGUAUCUACCUAUCAAGAGUCUUAUAAUUUCUAUAAAUAAAAUUAUGUAUCCAUCUUUAUGUAUUACUGCAUUACCCCAGAUAUGGCUGGCUGAAUACCUAGCCAAAUUGUUAGGAUACGUUUGGGAUGGCAUGCUUUAAAAUAUAAGUCAUGUGGGCAUAUAUAUAUUCUUUUCAGAGUACCAGCAUUCCUAUACAGUAGUAUGAAAUCUAUACACCUGUGUGUGUGUGUGUCUGUGUGUGUGUAUUUAGAGAACAGUGUGACACAUCAUUUUGAAAAGUCAAUGAGGUGAACUGAGAAAUAUACAUUCAACUUUUUUCCCCCCAAAUGAAGGACUACAUGUGUUUAUUAAUUUUCUAGUUGGUUGCUUUUAUUUUUUCCUGUGGAUAGAGAUAAGAAUAUAUAUCUAACAAAAGUGCAUCAUGAACUCAAAAAACCUUAGAUCCCUAUCAGCAAAAAUAUUUUUUAAGAAGAUACAUUUGAAAGAAUCUGAUAUUGGGGUGGAGAUAUGCGCUAUCAAGGGCAAAAGAGAUAGAGCAAAUUUUUGCAACCCAGAGAGAGAGGCUGUCAUUGUCCUUAGGAGAUAAAACCGAAGCCAAACAAGUGGGCUCUGGGACUGUGGACUGGAAGUGGUAUUUUCUAGCUUGUUUGGGUGAACGAUAGUCCAGAAAGAGCAAUGUCUGGUUAAUAAUAAGAAGAGACUCCUCAGUAGCAGUUUGCCAAACACCAGAACCAAAGAUGAUUUCCAACAUGAUUUAAUCCCUAUUUUGCUAAGAAAACAGUUAAGAAGGGUCACUGUAGCAAAUUCGCCAUUAAUUUAAACUCUGAUUUGGAAAAGGGAAGUGAAGUUACAAGCUGGACCAAUGGCAGGUCAGGUUUGAAUCAAUUAUUGCGCUCCCAGGAGAAAGGUUUUAUCUUUUAAAAUCCAAAUGUUAGAAAAAUGGCAUUCAAAUCUACACCAGUGUACGUUAAUAGAUUGUUAAAGAAAGAGAGUGAAUAUAUACCUCUGAAUUGUCACUAAUUUCCUCAAAGUAGGAAUUUAUAUUUUAAAUUUUUAAAAUUUUCUUCUUUCCUCCUCCUUUCUUCCUUUCUUUGUCUCUCUGACUCUCUGUUUAUGGAAAAUCACUGAUGGAGUUCAGGGCAGGCUACCCCAGAAUGUACCACUUUGGCAUGUGGAUUGUUUCAAGCUGAAGACAAUCAAGGCUCAACAGACUCAAGAACAGCUUUUACUUGUCUCUUAACUGCCUAAAAUAAUUUAGAUAAGGAGCCUGUACCAGGAAGAGAGCCAUUAGCGGAGAUAACUUCUUAUAUCAGAAAGACUUAUGCGCAUGACAUGGCAACCGUUUGUUUACCAAAUAUUUGCUCUUCCCAUCUUCCUGUGAAUCGUAUUCCUUCCCUUUGAAGCCUCAGACCCCUCUUCCCUUCUCCUUAACUCAGAAUGACUUAUAGGUUUCAAUUAUCUGACUGUCUGAGAGCCUGUCACAUCUUUGUGGGGCGCUUGUAUGUACAGAAUUAAAUUUGUUUUUCUCCUGUCAAUCUGUCUGAUGUCAAUUUAAUUACGAGGCAAGCCAAAGAACCUAGAAAGAAAGAUGGAAAAAGUUUUCCUCCUGUAUAUCACCAAAAAAAGAAGAAAAGCAGCUGCCUUCUCUCUCAUCAUCCAGUAGAGAACCAGGCCACUUCUCUUCACCACUGUCCUGAUUCUACGAGAAAUUCUCUGGUAUGGAGAAAACCAUCUGGGAAAACCUACUCACCACAGUAAAGGAAUGGAGGGCUCUCUUUGUAAUCUUGUAAUUCCAUUCACUAGAGAGUGAUGUUUUUAUGUUUGUGAAAUAGAUAGUGGUAUAUGUGUUUUUACUUCUAGAAAGUGAAAAAUAAAAUGAGUCAGCCUCUUAAAUGUCUCUCUUAUUAAUCCCUAUAUUUUUCUAUAAUCCAAAUAUUCAGAAAGACAUUUUCUGGUUUUACCCUGGAAAGUCCAGCAACCUGAAUGCAAAAUCUAUUAUAUGUGAAUCUCUGGCUCAAAAGUCUUCAUUGGUGUCCUGCUGUCUCCUAGAUUAAAUGUAAACUACUUAUCAUAGAAGCCAGAUGUGAAAACUGCACACAGAUUCAGAAAUCCACUAAUUCAGAAUGAAUGGGAUAAGGACAGAGAGAAACAAAUUUAAGAAGAUUCUAUCCUGAGUGUUCACCAGAAGUCAUUUACCUGGAUGUCCCCAAUUCCGCCAGACUGUUUGGCUCAUCUACUUUUUCAUUUCUUAAUACAAUUAUCUUCAAGGCUUUUUUGUUUAUAUGCUGGGGCACGGAACAAUGUUUCUAACAUAUCAGGAAAUUUUGGAGGGGUGUAUAUUUUCCUCUAAUUUCUCACUUCUGAUACAGUCUUGUUACAUGAUACUUGCUUUGAGUUUGGCUUCCUUUUUUUUUUAAACUGUUUUUGGAGAGGGUUUUAAUUUUUUUUUUUAAAGAUUGGCACCUGAGCUAACAACUGUUGCCAAUCUUCUUUUUUAUGUUUUUAUUCUUCUCCCCAAAGCCCCCCAGUACAUAGUUGUAUAUUCUGGCUGUAAGUGGCUCUGGCUGUGCUAUGCGGGAUGCUGCCUCAGCAUGGCUUGAUGAGCGGUGCCAUGUCCGUGCCCAGGAUCCGAACCGGCGAAACCCUGGGCUGCCGAAGCAGAGUGCGUGAACUUAACCACUUGGCCACGGGGCCGGCCCCUGAGUUUGGCUUCUUAAGCAUCUAUCUCUUGUCCAUUCGAAGUUUGUGUGCUAGGCAGAAGGUUAUAUGAAAAGUUUGAGUCAAUGAAAGAGGAAAUUAUUAUAUAUCAUAGCCUCCACCCAAACAAAAUUUAGUUUUAACAAUCCUUAUUUCUUAUGAGUCCCUCAGCCUUCUCUCCCUGUAGAGACACCGCGUCCAGUCCUGUAACUCGACCCCGUUCUCUGCUUCCCUUGACUCUUGAGCCUUUUCUGACUCAAAUCCAUAUCCGUGUCCAUUAAAGCAGGGUGACUACCUCUCUGUGCUGCUUAAGCUUUUGUCAAGACCAUUGCCUGGACAUAUCAUCUAAGGAAACUUUCAUUAGCUACCUGCUUCCAACUGAAUCCUUGAAAGUUAUGAUAGUACCAGAAAUUUCAAAUUCAGCCAAUGCUGUCCAUGUAUUUUUAAAUACAUCUUAGUCAAUUGGAAAGAAAAAU